rnacentral:rRNA from 1 species
GACAAACGCUGGCGGCGUGCCUAACACAUGCAAGUCGAACGGAACUGUUUUGAAAGUUUUCUUUGCUCUGAUUUUGAUUUAGUUUAUUGGCGGACGGUUGCCUAACCCGUGCUUUACCUGCCUUUCAGAGAGGAAUAACUUUCUGAAAAGAAUGCUAACACCGCAUUACUUAUCGGAACCACAUUGUUUUGAUAUCAAAUAUUUUAUCGCUUGAUGAUGGACUCGCGUUCGUUUAGUUAGUUGGUGAGGUAGCGGCUAACCAAGACCGCGAUCGGUAGCCGGAGUGAGAGACUGGACAGACACAGAGGGACAGAGACACGGCACAGACUCGGAAGGGAGGCAGCAGUGAGGGAGAUUGAGCAAUGGAGGCAACACUGAGGAAGCAAGGCCGCGUGAAGAAGGAAGGUGUUCGGAUUGUAGACUUCUUUUAUGAAGGACGAAAAAUGACGGUACUUAAUGAAUAAGCUCCGGCUAACUACGUG